GCUGGGCUGAGUAACUUGAGCCUGUAACCCAAGUGGGGGCAUUAAAGUGGGCUUGAAGGAGCCAUUGAAACGGGGGGUUUCCAUGGACGUUCAGAACCACUUGA
rnacentral:SRP_RNA from 11 species